GCCAGCGGCUAGAGCACGUUGAAUUCACCAGUUCCCGAGGGACCACUGAAGUUAAUCGACGUUGCGCGUGGUUGGAAUCUCCAAGGGUGACCGUCUGGGAUCCUGUGCUGCUAACU
rfam:Asian citrus Psyllid, Diaphorina citri - Florida Strain, whole genome shotgun sequence.